rnacentral:lncRNA from 1 species
GACGGAGUCUCGCUCUGUCCCCCAGGCUGCAGUGCAGUGGCCAAUGUCUGCUCACUGCAACCUCCGCCUCCACGGUUCAAGCGAUUCUUGUGCCUCAGCCUCCUGAGUAGCUGGGAUUACCAGCAUGCACCACCACACCCAGAGAUGGUGUAUCACUACGUUACCCAGGCUGGUCCUGAAUUCUUGGGCUGAAGUGAUCUUCCUGCCUUGGCCUCCCAAAGUGCUUGGAUUAUAGGCAUGAGCCACCAUGCCUGGCCUCUUUUCUCUUAUUUUCUUGGUCAGUCUAGCCAGAGGUUUGUCAAUGUUGCUGAUGUUUUCAAAGAAUCAACAUUAAUAUUCUACAUUAUUUUUCUGUUUCCUAUUUCAUUAAUUUCCACAUUAAACUUUAUUAUAUCCUUCCUUCUGCUUACUCUGAAUUUAGUUUGCCCUUUCUUCUUUUCUAGUUUCUUAAGAUGGAAGCAUAAGUUAUUGAUUUGAGACCUUCAUUCAUUUCUGAUAUGGGUGUUUACAGAUAUAAAUUUCCCUUCAAGCACUACUUUAGCUGCAUCUAUAAAUUUUGAUAUGUUGUAUUUCUGUUUUCAUUUGAUUGAAAAAUUUUAAUAUCCA